CCUACGGGAGGCUGCAGUGAGGAAUAUUGGUCAAUGGACGAGAGUCUGAACCAGCCAAGUAGCGUGAAGGAUGACUGCCCUAUGGGUUGUAAACUUCUUUUAUAAAGGAAUAAAACGAGGCACGUGUGCCUUUUUGCAUGUACUUUAUGAAUAAGGAUCGGCUAACUCCGUGCCAGCAGCCGCGGUAAUACGGAGGAUCCGAGCGUUAUCCGGAUUUAUUGGGUUUAAAGGGAGCGUAGAUGGGUUGUUAAGUCAGUUGUGAAAGGUUGCGGCUCAACCGUAAAAUUGCAAUUGAUACUGGCAGUCUUGAGUACAGUUGAGGUAGGCGGAAUGCGUGGUGUAGCGGUGAAAUGCUUAGAGAUCACGAAGAACCCCGAUUGCGAAGGCAGCUUACUAAACUGUGACUGACAUUGAUGCUCGAAAGUGUGGGUAUCAAACAGGAUUAGAUACCCCAGUAGUC
rnacentral:rRNA from 1 species